UACGUAGGGUGCAGGCGUUAAUCGGAAUUACUGGGCGUAAAGGGCGCGUAGGCGGCCUGCUAAGUCGAACGUGAAAUCCCCGGGCUCAACCCGGGAACUGCGUCCGAUACUGGCAGGCUUGAAUUCGGGAGAGGGAUGCGGAAUUCCAGGUGUAGCGGUGAAAUGCGUAGAUAUCUGGAGGAACACCGGUGGCGAAGGCGGCAUCCUGGACCGAUAUUGACGCUGAUGCGCGAAAGCCAGGGGAGCAAACGGG
rnacentral:rRNA from 1 species